rnacentral:rRNA from 1 species
UACGUAGGGAGCAAGCGUUAUCCGGAUUUAUUGGGUGUAAAGGGAGCGUAGGCGGCGGUGCAAGUCAGAAGUGAAAGCCCGGGGCUCAACUCCGGGACUGCUUUUGAAACUGUAUUGCUAGAUUGCGGGAGAGGCAAGUGGAAUUCCUAGUGUAGCGGUGAAAUGCGUAGAUAUUAGGAGGAACACCAGUGGCGAAGGCGGCUUGCUGGACCGUAAAUGACGCUGAGGCUCGAAAGCGUGGGGAGCAA